rnacentral:lncRNA from 1 species
CCCAGCAAAAUAACAUAAGUCAAACUACAAUUAAUACGAGUUGAUGUCAAUUAUACCACCUACUAAUAAUCAUUAUUAUACCAGAAAAUGAUCCAUAAUAAUCCACAUAAACAAACUAAUAAGCAUACCUACAGGAGAACAAUUAACACAAAAAAUUGAAAUGUAUCUUAUCAAAACCUCAACUAUUUUAUAAAAGUAGAAUAUAGCAUCCACACACCCAAUAAAAAUAAGUAAAUAUCAUACCCCU